AUGCUCCUGCAGCUGACCGGCCUGCAGCCCGGAGACACCUCCGUGUACCACUGUGCCAGAGACACACAAGUUAGAAGAAUAUUGUGUUACCGCUGUUUUUAUACCGAUAUUAAUGGCCUGUCUUUAUUCCCAGGUGUCUGGUCCCAGGUGCAGCUGGUGGAGUCCGGAGGGGAUGUGAAAAAGCCCGGAGACUCUCUCCGCCUCUCCUGCAAAGCCUCAGGGUUCACCUUCAGCAGCGCCUACAUGAGCUGGGUCCGCCAGGCUCCUGGCAAGGGGCUAGAAUGGGUCGCUUAUAUAAGCAGGAGUGGGAGUACAUUCUACCUUGAUUCAGUGAAAGGCCGAUUCACCAUCUCCAGGGAUAAUCCCAAGAGUGAGCUGUAUCUGCAACUGACCGGCCUGAAGCCCGAGGACACCGCCCGCUAUUACUGUGCGAGUGACACAGUGAAACGAAACCGGUUUGUGAUCAUACAAAAACCCAGGCUGCCUAAUCGCCCUUCUCCCGGCAGCCGCUCGGGGGCAGCACUUCCACAAACAAUCCAGGAGUGGGCACAGGAAUUGCUUCUACAACCAGAGUGAAAAACAAAUCAGUCCUCAGGUUUCAAAGCUCAGUCUCCAGGGGUGAAAAUAACUUAAAGCACU